rnacentral:rRNA from 1 species
GACGAACGCUGGCGGCGUGCCUAAUACAUGCAAGUAGAACGCUGAAGGAGGAGCUUGCUUCUCUGGAUGAGUUGCGAACGGGUGAGUAACGCGUAGGUAACCUGCCUGGUAGCGGGGGAUAACUAUUGGAAACGAUAGCUAAUACCGCAUAAUAGUAGAUGUUGCAUGACAUUUGCUCAAAAGGUGCAAUUGCAUCACUACUAGAUGGACCUGCGUUGUAUUAGCUAGUUGGUGAGGUAACGGCUCACCAAGGCGACGAUACAUAGCCGACCUCAGAGGGGGAUCGGCGACGCUGGGCUUGAGACACGGCCCAGCAUCCUGCGAGAGGCAGCAGUAGGGAACCCUCGGCAAUGGACGGAAGUGUGACCGAGCAGCGCUGCGUGAGUGAAGAAGGUAUCCGUAUCGUGUAGCUCUGUUAUGUGUGAAGAUCGAGUGUGUGUGUGGACAGUUAACACAGUGACGGUAUCUUGCCAGGAAGGCACGGCUAACUUCGUG